CGCACCUUGCGCUCCUUGGUAUUCCGAGGAGCAUGCCUGUUUGAGUGUCAUGAAAUUCUCAACCUUUCUAAGGCUUGGAUUGUGGAAGUUGCUGGUUCAGUCCGAGUCAGCUCUUCUUAAAUGCAUUAGCAGAGACCCGACCGUCUUUGAUAUGAUAAUUAUCUAUAUUAUUGACGAUAGGGAAAUCUUAUAUAUCAUGAUUUGACCUCAAAUCAGGUAGGACUACCCGCUGAACUUAA
rnacentral:misc_RNA from 1 species